CUGACCCAAUAGGUCCAUCCCCUCAAAGCUGUUAUCUCUAUUCUUAAUGAUGAGCAUACAUGUACUGCUGCUGACUUCAGCUUAGUGUGGUUCAACUCAGUUGCAAAAUUAUAGGUAAAUUUUUAAAAUGUCUUGGAACCCAGUUGCUUCUUUGGCCAGAAUGUAACUAGCUAGCAGAAACACUGAAGGCUGUUUUUCAGUAUAUUUCAGAAGGAUUUUCUAUUUGACAAUAAAAGGAUGAGGGUUUAGCCUUUUCCUUUGGAAAAAGAAGUGGAAAAGAGGAAAUUAUUUACUGGUUCUCCCUCUUCUUCCCAGCCAACGUGUUUUCACCUAUCCUAAAGGAACCAGUAUGUCUGAGACUCCUCUCCAGCCUGAAUUGGAUUGACAUGAACAGUAAUGUCAAAAGUUAAUGGAAGGAGUCAGUUGAAAUCUGAAACUAUUACUUCUGGGACAAAGUCCAACGAAUUUUUUGCAGUAUACAGGAGAAAACAUGAAAUUUCCGUGGAACACAAGAGAAAGAUAGUUUCAUAG
rnacentral:lncRNA from 14 species